rnacentral:rRNA from 1 species
CGUGUAGGCGGUUGGUCAAGUCGGGUGUGAAAGCCCGGGGCUCAGCCUCGGAAGUGCAUCCGAAACUAGCCAGCUAGAGCGCGAUAGAGGAGGGUGGAAUUCCUGGUGUAGCGGUGAAAUGCGUAGAUAUCAGGAGGAACACCGGCGGCGAAGGCGGCCCUCUGGAUCGUUGCUGACGCUGAGACGCGAAAGCGUGGGGAGCAAACAGGAUUAGAUACCCUGGUAGUCCACGCCUUAAACGAUGGGUACUAGGUGUUCGGGGUGUUGACCCCCUGAGUGCCGCAGUUAACGCAUUAAGUACCCCGCCUGGGGACUACGGCCGCAAGGUUAAA